GGUGCUUGAGUUGGAUUGGAUGAGGAUUGAGGAUUAGCAAUGAUUCUCCAGCCAUUUUUUUUACCUGGCAAGUCUAACUAGAUCUUUAUCUCUUGCUUGCUUUCAUUCUUUUCAGCAACUCGCCAGACUCGAACUGGCAGGGCUCUGAUCAAGCCUAUUUUUCCGACAAUAGAGUUGCUUUUGGUACGCAGUUCAAUAGGCUUAAAUUUCAGCCUUCCUACAUCUGCGGGCAGACCGCUUAAAGGAAUCCUCUAUCCAGACUCCCCCUAGAACCUCUGUCUGGUCUAGGGACUACUUUAAGCUUGAU
rnacentral:lncRNA from 1 species